AGCAGUAGCCACGGUAACACGAAGGGGGCUAGCGUUGCUCGGAAUGACUGGCGUAAAGGGCGCGUAGGCGGUUGACACAGUUAGAUGUGAAAUUCCCGGGCUUAACCUGGGGACUGCAUUUGAUACUGGCAGGCUUGAGUGUGGAAGAGGGUCGUGGAAUUCCCAGUGUAGAGGUGAAAUUCGUAGAUAUUGGGAAGAACACCGGUGGCGAAGGCGGCGACCUGGUCCAUAACUGACGCUGAGGCGCGAAAGCGUGGGGAGCAAACAGGAUUAGAUACCCCUGUAGUCCCUGUCUCUUAUACA
rnacentral:rRNA from 1 species